rnacentral:rRNA from 1 species
AUUGAACGCUGGCGGCAGGCUUAACACAUGCAAGUCGAGCGAGCGGCGGACGGGUGAGUAAUUUCUGGGAAACUGCCUGCUGGAGGGGGAUAACUACUGGAAACGGUAGCUACUACCGAAUACAAUCAGCUGUGCCCCGAUGGGAUUGGCUAGUAGGUGGGGGAAUGGCGCACCUCGGCGACGAUCCCUAGCUGUUCUGAGAGGAUGACCAGCCACACUGGAACUGAGACACGGUCCAGACUCCUACGGGAGGCAGCAUUGGGGAAUAUUGCACAAGGGGCGCAAGCCUGAGGCAGCCAUGCCUCGUGUGUGAAGAAGGCCUUCGGGUUGUAAAGCACUUUCAGCGAGGAGGCGUUACUCGCAGAAGAAGCACCGGCUAACUCCGUGCCAGCCGCCGCGGUAAUAC